rnacentral:lncRNA from 10 species
AAGGAAAUGACUACUUAACACAGGAACAGAAAUCCAAAUAAAGAAAGAAAAAAAAAAUAAACACAAAAUAAAGAAAUGACUAGUUUGGGAAACUUCUCUCUUCCUUGGAUUUCAACGUGCAUCCCUCUUCUGUUUGCCUUUAACAGCCCCGCAGCAUCACUGCAUUCACCCAUUAAUGUGUUCAUCCAGCAAGUAUUGACUGAGCACCUCAGGUCCUCCAGCCACUGCCCGAGGCUCUGGUGUACAAAGAUGAACAGGACUUGGUCUCCACCAUCACACUGGAGUUUAGAGAAGGAAAUAACUAAUUUGUCAAUUCCAAUAUGCUGCAUUACAAGUCAAGGAAGACUGGGGAUAGAAAGAAGUAUAGGCAAUGGCAUUUCAGGCAGCAAUCUAUGCACACCUGGAGACUGGAGAAAGAAGGAUGUUUUCAAGGACCUCAAGAUUUCUCUGGGCCAGUGAUCCUUGGGGAAACUGAGGAAGCUCAACAACAAUUUGCAAAAUGGAGGCAAGAAUAAUGGCUAUUUCCUCUGCAUAGAAGCAGAGCAGCAUGGUUUGGAAUUAAGCACAUCUGGUUGGAACUCGGAGAGUCACAUCCUGAAUGGGAAAGUUACUGGCUUCUCUCCACACCCAAGACUUCCUGGUAAAGUGAGAUCAUCGUAUUUGACUUCCAAGGUCUAAGUCAGAAGACAGCUGCUAGCCCCACAGAGGACAGCUGCUGGCACAGCGUUUGGUGUAUAAUAGGCACCUCAACAGACAUUGUUCCCCUCCCCAGUGAAUUGCCCUGCUUUCUGUCCUCUCUCCUUGCAUCUGCCUCCUUAAUGUUUUCACCCUUUAAGACCUAGCUGAAGUUUAAGAACUUUCCAGGUCCCCUCCACCAUGUUUUCACUCUUCAAGACCUAGCUGAAGUUUAAGAACUUUCCAGGCCCCCUCCACCACUUCCCACUGGAACAUCAUCCCCUGCCCUGGCAUGGAUGUGGAUGGCACUCAAUACUUCUUGUGUUCUUUGCUAAACCGUCAAGGCCUUGAAGGCUGGGACACCAUCUUUUAAUGGCUCAACAAAUAUCUGGAACAUCAAAGGUGAGCACAGAUGUGAAAAUUACCUGCUUUGUAAUUUGGAAUAUUAUGUUUAAAAAAAAAGGUUUAAAAAAAAA